UCGUAACAAGGUCUCCGUUGGUGAACCAGCGGAGGGAUCAUUACUGAGUUUACGCUCUACAACCCUUUGUGAACAUACCUAUAACUGUUGCUUCGGCGGGUAGGGUCUCCGUGACCCUCCCGGCCUCCCGCCCCCGGGCGGGUCGGCGCCCGCCGGAGGAUAACCAAACUCUGAUUUAACGACGUUUCUUCUGAGUGGUACAAGCAAAUAAUCAAAACUUUUAACAACGGAUCUCUUGGUUCUGGCAUCGAUGAAGAACGCAGCGAAAUGCGAUAAGUAAUGUGAAUUGCAGAAUUCAGUGAAUCAUCGAAUCUUUGAACGCACAUUGCGCCCGCCAGCAUUCUGGCGGGCAUGCCUGUUCGAGCGUCAUUUCAACCCUCAAGCUCUGCUUGGUGUUGGGGCCCUACAGCUGAUGUAGGCCCUCAAAGGUAGUGGCGGACCCUCCCGGAGCCUCCUUUGCGUAGUAACUUUACGUCUCGCACUGGGAUCCGGAGGGACUCUUGCCGUAAAACCCCCAAUUUUCCAAAGGUUGACCUCGGAUCAGGUAGGAAUACCCGCUGAACUUAAGCAUAUCAAUAA
rnacentral:rRNA from 1 species